GCAACGCUAGCCUGAACGGCUUGAUUCUCUUUGGAAUCAAUUGGCUUAGUUGUUGCGAUGUUGUGUUUGCAAACUCGUUUUUCGAGUUAGGUAGGUUUCUACCAUUGUUUUGUCUCACUUAUCCCAGAGGCAAAACAUAUACUUCCUGUAUUUAUUUUUUGACCUGUCUGUCAAAUUUUUUAGCACCGCCUUAUGGCGGUGUUUUUUUAU
rnacentral:other from 1 species